rnacentral:rRNA from 1 species
UACGAAGGGAGCUAGCGUUGUUCGGAAUCACUGGGCGUAAAGCGCACGUAGGCGGAUUUGUCAGUCAGGGGUGAAAUCCCGGGGCUCAACCUCGGAACUGCAUCCGAGACUGCAUUGCUAGAGUAUGGGAGAGGGAAGCGGAAUUUCUGGUGUAGCAGUGAAAUGCGUAGAUAUCAGAAGGAACAUCAGUGGCGAAGGCGG